GAUGAACGCUGGCGGCGUGCCUAAUACAUGCAAGUCGAGCGAACAGACGAGGAGCUUGCUCCUCUGACGUUAGCGGCGGACGGGUGAGUAACACGUGGAUAACCUACCUAUAAGACUGGGAUAACUUCGGGAAACCGGAGCUAAUACCGGAUAAUAUAUUGAACCGCAUGGUUCAAUAGUGAAAGACGGUUUUGCUGUCACUUAUAGAUGGAUCCGCGCCGCAUUAGCUAGUUGGUAAGGUAACGGCUUACCAAGGCAACGAUGCGUAGCCGACCUGAGAGGGUUGUCGGCCACACUGGAACUGAGACACGGUCCAGACUCCUACGGGAUGCAGCAGUAGGGAAUCUUCCGCAAUGGGCGAAAGCCUGACGGAGCAACGCCGCGUGAGUGAUGAAGGUCUUCGGAUCGUAAAACUCUGUUAUUAGGGAAGAACAAAUGUGUAAGUAACUAUGCACGGCUUGACGGUACCUAAUCAGAAAGCCACGGCUAACUACGUG
rnacentral:rRNA from 1 species